GGAGGAUCCAAGCGUUAUCCGGAAUCAUUGGGUUUAAAGGGUCCGUAGGCGGUUUAAUAAGUCAGUGGUGAAAGCCCAUCGCUCAACGGUGGAACGGCCAUUGAUACUGUUAGACUUGAAUUAUUAGGAAGUAACUAGAAUAUGUAGUGUAGCGGUGAAAUGCUUAGAGAUUACAUGGAAUACCAAUUGCGAAGGCAGGUUACUACUAAUUGAUUGACGCUGAUGGACGAAAGUGUGGGUAGCGAACAGGAUUAGAUACCCUGGUAGUCCACGCCGUAAACGAUGGAUACUAGCUGUUGGAAGCAAUUUCAGUGGCUAAGCGAAAGUGGUAAGUAUCCCACCUGGGGAGUACGUUCGCAAGAAUG
rnacentral:rRNA from 1 species